GAUGAAGAACGUAGCGAAAUGCGAUAAGUAAUGUGAAUUGCAGAAUUCCGUGAAUCAUCGAAUCUUUGAACGCACAUUGCGCCCGCCAGUAUUCUGGCGGGCAUGCCUGUUCGAGCGUCAUUUCAACCCUCAAGCACAGCUUGGUGUUGGGACUCGCGUUAAUUCGCGUUCCCCAAAUUGAUUGGCGGUCACGUCGAGCUUCCAUAGCGUAGUAGUAAAACCCUCGUUACUGGUAAUCGUCGCGGCCACGCCGUUAAACCCCAACUUCUGAAUGUUGACCUCGGAUCAGGUAGGAAUACCCGGUGAACUUAAGCAUAUCAAUAAGCGGAGGA
rnacentral:misc_RNA from 1 species